rnacentral:sRNA from 1 species
CCUCUUCAAUUUGUUGAGGACAGAUAAAGUGGAUGUGCGAAUCAAUGCCACCAGCAGUCAGUAUUUGCCCUUCACCCGCAACCACUUCUGUGCCGGGGCCGAUGAUGAUAUCGACACCAUCUUGAAUAUCAGGAUUACCGGCUUUACCAAUGCCACUGAUGCGCCCGCCUUUGACGGCCACAUCGGCCUUAACGAUGCCCCACCAAUCCAACACCACCACAUUCGUGAUCACCAUAUCUGGUGUUUCAUAGCUCGGUCUUUGGCUCUGCCCCAUACCAUCACGAAUGG